CUAACCGCAAGGGGGACGGUUACCACGGAGUGAUUCAUGACUGGGGUGAAGUCGUAACAAGGUAGCCGUAGGGGAACCUGCGGCUGGAUCACCUCCUUAAU
rnacentral:rRNA from 1 species